AUGGAGUUCCUCAAGAUGUUAUCAAGUGCAUGCUGUUCACAUUCUCUCUCCGAGAUGAUGCUUGUGCUUGGUAUCGAUCCUUGCCAUCAAGAUCAUUCAGUUGGAAUGAGAUACCACGAGCUUUCUUGGAUAAAUAUUUCCCACUACACAAGCAGUCCGCAAUUCGAGAUGAGAUCUUCAGCUUCGUUCAGCGUGAAGGUGAGAGCUUGUAUGAUGCUUGGGAGAGAGCUACAGUUAGUUACUUUUGAUAUUGAGGAGAUACCUUUAGUUGAUAUUGAUCAUGUCCUGCUAGAGCCAGAUAUGGAAAAGUUCACCUUUGAUGAUGUUAGCCACAUCGAUUCUUCAACGCUUGAGCCUGAGAUGGAAAUCUUCAUUGUUGAUUAUGAUGAGGUCACUUCAGAUGUCAAGGAGCAAAGCCCUACUAUUUCACCUGUCGAUACGAGCCCGAUGGAAGUUUCUACUACCAUGCCUUCCAUGGUAUCUUCAAUUGAGGUAGUCAUAAAACUUCUCCAAGGCCAUUUUAGGUAUUAUCUCAGCUUUCUGGAUAAGUUAUGUCAUAUCGCUGAUAUUGCCUAUGCACCAUGUGACUUGUUGUUGAUACAUGUUCCUGAUUUUCUCAAUAGAUAUACUUAUAUGAUAGGAUACUCUAUCGAUGACUUAGAGGGCAUUCUCUCUGUCACUUGUAUUGGCUUGGCUGUCGAGUGUUCUUUCAGGUUGAUGCUUGUGCACCAUUUACUGCGAGUUGACCGAGUUUGA
rnacentral:rRNA from 1 species